GACGAACGCUGGCGGCGUGCUUAACACAUGCAAGUCGAACGGAAAGGCCCUGCUUUUGUGGGGUGCUCGAGUGGCGAACGGGUGAGUAACACGUGAGUAACCUGCCCUUGACUUUGGGAUAACUUCAGGAAACUGGGGCUAAUACCGGAUAGGAGCUCCUGCUGCAUGGUGGGGGUUGGAAAGUUUCGGCGGUUGGGGAUGGACUCGCGGCUUAUCAGCUUGUUGGGGGGGUAGUGGCUUACCAAGGCUUUGACGGGUAGGCGGCCUGGGAGGGUGACCGGCCACCUUGGGACUGAGAUACGGCCCAGACUCCUACGGGAGGCAGCAGUGGGGAAUAUUGCACAAUGGGCGGAAGCCUGAUGCAGCAACGCCGCGUGCGGGAUGACGGCCUUCGGGUUGUAAACCGCUUUCGCCUGUGCCGAAGCGUGAGUGACGGUAAUGGGUAAAGAAGCACCGGCUAACUACGUG
rnacentral:rRNA from 1 species